rnacentral:lncRNA from 1 species
AAAGCGGUGGCGGCCUCCGAUCGCUCUCUCUCUCUCCACCGUGACGUGAGCAGCCUUGGCGGCUAUUUAUAACCACACGAUUGGAUUUCAUUCAUGAAACCAGGGCCUGGUGUGUCUGAGCUGUGGGACGCGAGGUGGCGAAGGUGCUGCGGCUGCACGCACACCGGAGGGGCCUGGGCUCCAGGGCCGGGAUCAGCGUGCGUCCCGCUACCCCGGGGACCCGGCCUUAAGCCAAGCGGAGAUCAGAGCAGGGCAGGGUGUGUGCGAGCUGUCCCCGCGCCCCCUCCCCGCAGCAUCCCACCCACUCCCGAACAUCCGCUGGCCCUCAGUCCUGGGCUCAGGAAAAGAAAUCUUGGAAGGGAAAACCAGUUUCGGGGACACUGUGGACUUUCAAGCCGAUUGUGAGUUCUGGGGGCAGAGUUCUGGUUACUUUUCACGGAUCCGCAGAAGAACUGCCUAGGUGCCUAGGGGUGUCUGGCAUCACGCGAUGCUCUAAGGAGGUGACAGGGAACUGCAACUAACUUGGCUCCUGUCCGCAGGGAACUUUCAGUCCGCCUUCUCAACUGCCUGUUAGACUGGGCUGUGUAAUCCGCUCACUCUAGUCCUGCAACGAGACGAGACAGCUGGCGGAUUAGGAUGUGAAUGCCUUCAACUAGGGAUGUGCUACGUUUAUAAAACCCUUCUAAAGGCUGACAUGGAGCACACAAAAAAUGGCCACGCUACAUCCUUGGCCUCCAUCAGUUCUUAGCUAAGGCCUUGCCAGCAUCUCGAAAGGGUGGGAAAGAUAGAUAGCCGUAUUUUACUGUGAGGACGGUUACUUAGGGCUAUCCUUCAACUUCCCUUAAAAAAAUGAAUAGCAAACAAAACCCUCUCUCACAGUAACGCCUCCGUCCCUCCUUUUCAGGAAACCACAUUUGGUUUUCUUAGAUGGACUUCUCUUCCUCCCCAGGAUCUCUGGUUUCCAGUCUCUUUGGCAAUUUCCUGCCCCUCCCUUAGAUCCUCCCAUAGCUGGUCUCCAACUCUCGCUAUGUUGCCAAGGCUGGCCUUGAACUCCUGCAACCUCGGCCUUGCAGGUUUGUACCACCAACAGGCUAAGCAAACGAAAUGUUUUUAAAUAAGAAAAUGUUGUGCAGGCAACCUGCGGUAUUUAAGCAAUCCUUAAUGUACUGUUGUGGUUGGAGAUGGGGUCAUCAAGGCCAUAACCUUUUGAUGCUAGCAAGAGAAGGAAGGAAGAAGUCAAAUUCCCGUGUCUGAGGAGUUCAAGGUGGAUCGUGACUGAAUAUGGUCAUUUGCUUGGCAAGGGGUAGACUCCCCUCAGCCUGCUUUAAAAGGACACCAUGUUGAAAGACUCAAUCAAUAGAUACUCUCUCCAGGAAUAUAUUAGGGAAAGUUAAUUAACCCCGUUGUUGCUAACUAGCUACUUCUCGGCAAGUCAGUUCUUUUCAAACUACCUUGGGGCACCGAGGAAUAGAACAGUAACUAAGAAAUGGGAACUUAGAAACUAAGAAAUAUGUAUUGUGGCCCCAAGUGCAGCGGGGAAUGGCUUUCCUCUCUUUUUUUUCCUUAAGAUUAUUAUACCACCACAACUGAUGAGGCAGGCCAUUGGAACCAUUUUACAGAUGGGGUAACUGAGGCAAGGGCAAUUUGCAUUUUUUCAGUAUUGUUAGUGGUUGACUUUUGUGCCCCAGGGUCAUCGAGGGCUGGCUUUAUUUUAUCACUAACCUUUGUUGUAACAUCCGGUCCCCUUCAGGUGUCUUUCACUUCCUCAGUCACACAUUCAAAAGAUGAACCUGCCAUAACUUUCGAAAAAUGCCAGGCAUAAUGGCAUGCCCCUGUGGUUCCCCCACACUGCCAGAGGUAGAGACAGCAGGAUGCCUGGGGCUCACUGGUUCUAAAGCCUCUCUGAUUCAGUGGCCCCUAGUUCCUGUGGGGGAGGGGGGAAGGGACAGAUCCUAAGGAACAACCCCAAGGUUGACCUCUGAACUCCACAAGUACGUGCACAGGCGAGUGCCACCCUUUACCACCCCUCCCCCCACAUGGCAGCAUAUGCACACACCUGCACAUAUUUCUGAAGCAUCAGAGAGGUUGUAAGAGUAGAAAGACACCUAGUACUGUGCAUACUCUUGGGGUGCCUGACCAUCUCCUGAGCCCCCCCCCCCCCCCCCGACCAUCCUUGUAGAGUGGAUAAGGAAUGCCUACUAGCCAUUUUGCUACCAUUUUUGACCUCAUGGCAUACCUAAACUUGAGGGGGAACUGAUCUGGAGAACUUCCAGGAAAAUAAAUUGCUACUAAUGGAGAUUUCAGAGACAGCAGAAGAAAAAAAAAAAUUACUGGAACUUUGUACCAAGCAAGGACAGGGAUGUCAAGAAGACACUGCCAUCGACAUGCGGGGCCCAUGGUGCCCCAAACUUCACACACGGGACCUCUGAUUCAUGAAGGUGGGAGGAGUGGGCAUACAGCAUGGACCGUGACCGCCGGCAGAAAAGAGGGGAUAAAAGCAAAGCGGAUAGCGCAGCUUCACGCAAGAGCUCAGCUGUGCUCCAGCCCACCAAAGAACCAGCCUUCCUGCUCGCUAACACAAUCUGCAUCAUUCACCUGAGAUAUACAAGGACUGGAGGCCUCACUGGGAAUUAGCCAACAUUUCUCUCUCAACACAAAUUUUCUUGCACAAUGGUGAUGUUAAACUUGUUAUGGUAGGUAUUUUAACCAAUGAUGUUGCCCUUCACACACACACACACAUACACACACACACAGCCAAAAUAAAUAAAAUAAAAUAAAAUAAAAUAAAAACACCCCCUCCACCAACACCAAAUCAAAACAACACCAACAACCAAAACCAUCCCAGACUGGCCACCUCACACGUGCAUGCUGAUGCACAUACAUACACAAUAAUUAUAACUUAAAAAUUUAAAUACCAGAAUUUACAUAUAGAAGUGUUCUUUAAUUACCAAUAAACUCACUCACUACUG